AUUGAACGCUGGCGGCAGGCUUAACACAUGCAAGUCGAGCGGGGUGAGGUGCUUCGGUACUGAUCCUAGCGGCGGACGGGUGAGUAAUGCUUAGGAAUCUGCCAUUUAGUGGGGGACAACAUUCCGAAAGGGAUGCUAAUACCGCAUACGUCCUACGGGAGAAAGCAGGGGAUCUUCGGACCUUGCGCUAAAUGAUGAGCCUAAGUCGGAUUAGCUAGUUGGUGGGGUAAAGGCCUACCAAGGCGACGAUCUGUAGCGGGUCUGAGAGGAUGAUCCGCCACACUGGGACUGAGACACGGCCCAGGCUCCUACGGGAGGCAGCAGUGGGGAAUAUUGAACAAUGGGCGGAAGCCUGAUCCAGCCAUGCCGCGUGUGUGAAGAAGGCCUUUUGGUUGUAAAGCACUGUAAGCGAGGAGGAGGCUACCUGGAUUAAUACUCUGGGAUAGUGGACGUUACUCGCAGAAUAAGCACCGGCUAACUCUGUGCCAGCCGCCGCAGUAAUAC
rnacentral:rRNA from 1 species